GGCGCUAUGGUGCAGUGGUAGCACUUAGGAUUUUGAUCCGACAUACUACUUGUGGUGGUAUUCUUCCUACAACCCAGGUUCGAACCCUGGUAGCGCCU
rnacentral:tRNA from 1 species